rnacentral:lncRNA from 1 species
GGCGCAUAAUUUAAUUUAAAUUAACAUAUAUCUAUCUAUUUCCAUGUUUAUCAAAAUCUAAACGGCCUCGAAACGUGGCAUAUUGCACACUGGUUGGGUUUCACCGAGAAACUAACCCUAGUUAGGUCUGCCUCCUCCUCCCCUCUCCACCCUAUAAAAUCAUACAAAACCCUCGCCUCAGCUCGCUCAUACUACAAUUCUGCGUGUCGUCCGAUAUUCUCCUUCCAAUUCUCCAAAUUCCAUUCCAAAGUAAACCUCAAAUAAUGGCUGAUGGUGAGUACAGGUGCUUCGUUGGUGGCCUCGCCUGGGCUACCACCGACGAUGCACUCUAUGAAGCUUUCAGAAGCUUUGGCGAUGUCACUGAUUCGAAGGUCCGUUUGUCACCUGUGAUCUCCCAGCGAUCGGAUCUCACCCGACUCCGCUAGGCUGUUUCGAUCCAGGAUCCCCCCCUCCCGAUCUCUUUGUGUUACUGUUACUGUGUUACUCUGUUCUCUCUCUGUGUUUUAUGUUACUGAUCUCUAAACUAUCGCCCCAAUCGGUACGUUUAUCUUCAUCCUUUGGGAGGAGAUUUCGUUCGAUUUUUUCUUUUGCUUCUUCAAUCAAUUGCUUAGUCAAUCUGAAUAUAAUAAUUCUGUUUGAAUCUGACGCGAUCCUGUGAAAUAUUUACGUUGGACCAGGUUAUCAACGAUCGCGAGACGGGGAGGUCCCGUGGAUUUGGAUUUGUGACUUUCCGCGACGAGAAGUCGAUGAGGGAUGCCAUCGAGGGGAUGAACGGCCAGAAUCUUGACGGUCGUAAUAUCACCGUUAAUGAGGCCCAGUCUCGUUCGGGCGGUGGUGGUGGUGGAGGUUACAACAGAGGCGGAGGUGGUGGCGGUGGAUAUGGAAGCGGUGGCGGUGGUGGAUACGGAAGCGGUGGUGGUGGCGGUGGAUACGGAGGUGGCAACCGGGGAUAUGGCGGUGGUGGCGGUGGUCGCGACCGUGAUGGAGGAUAUGGCGGUGGGUACGGUGGAGGCCGUGACCGUAGCUACGGUGGUGAUGGAGGGUCUGGGUACUCGAGGAGCGGUGGAGACUCGGGUGGAAACUGGAGGAAUUAGAUGGGAUCAAUAGCUUAGUUAGUGGGUGAGGAGUGGUUGUGGUUUUUGGAUUGUCGAAUGGGUUGGGCUAUGUUUUUGUCGAUGAGUCGAGUGUCGUGGGUUUUCUGGUUCCGUUGUGUGGAUCUUGCUAUCUAGUUCCUUGUCUCUUUGUUUUGCUUUGAUUGUGGUCUUUAAGUUCGUUUAUUGCUGCCCCUCCUGGGAUAAAAUGAUUAUGAUGUUUCGUUCGUUUAUGGUGGCACAAUAGCAGCAACAGGCAACAACAUUCACGCAAAUCUAGUAGGCUGAUACUCAAACUCCCAUCCCCCAAAUUGUAAGUUAGGGUUCAUGGAAUAUAAAUACGAAAUUUUGGCUAGCUCGAUUAAUGGUUCGAUUAGUGUAGUCUGCAAUUUAAUUUUAGAAAAAAUAGUUUGAAUAUUCUUAUUUCGUCCGAAAAAUAAAAAUAUGAUGGUGAAUAAUGUUAUCUUCACAACUAAAUAUCAUAUGUGUCGGAUGAGUUGGGUUUAUUUUAAAAUAUUGUAAGAUUUUUAUAAGUUUGUGAAUAUUAAGCUUGUGAUUUAACCGAUAACCUGCUCGUUAAAACUAGUCAAUAAACUUGUUAAGAGCUACAAAUAGCCGAGCUGAUCAAUUAUCACUUGUAUUGGAGCCUAUAAAUCCAACGAGCCGAGCUUUAGGGAACGAAGGGAUACAAUCGUAAUUUCAAGAGGUAAGAUAUUUUGUACGACGGAGAUGAAAAAAUCAGCGCAACCUUUCACCGUUUCACGUGCCUAUCGGUUUAUUCACAAACAAACAAAUCAGCAAAAUUGAUAAGGAAAACAAGUGGGUCGCACACUUAACCAACGUAGAUAUUUUUCUACUCAAUUUAGAAAGAAUAUCCCAACCAUGGUUAAGUCCAAUCUCGCCGGCCGGCCAUGCACCACCCUUUCAUUUUUGUAAUAUUAAUCUAUUAUUAUAACCGAUCUACCCUAUUUUUUAUAAUAAAAUGUCAUUUACCUGAAAAAUAAAAAUAUAUCCUAAUUUUUUUAUUCAAAGAUAAAAUACAUCUUUACGCGAAUAAGAAAAGGAAACACAUCGACAUAAUGGAAUAUAAAAGAGGUUAAAGGUGGGUAAGUGUCACUAAAUGGGCGAUGCAAUGAUCUAAACGAGGAAUAAACGUUAGAGUUAUCAAAGACGUGGACGAUUCAGUGAUUCAAACGAAGAGUAAUUGGCCACCCGAAUGUCGAAAGAUGGCCUCAAUUGAAUCAUAGAGAAUCAUCAAAAACUCCUGAAACAGAACGUCUGCUACAAAGAGAUAACGUUUAGUGGACUGUUAGCGUUAAUGGACCGACUAUAUGCGAGAUGGCACGAUCUGUUAUUGAGAUCAGCGACCCACAAGCACAAUUCACCACGGAGCUGAUACCUCUAUAACUGGGCAAAUCCGAUAUUUGACGAACUACGACAUCAAUAUUCACCGUUCAAAUGGAUUUAAUUGUUUUUUUCGAAAUGAUAGAAAAUAACAAAAUAAAUAAUUAAAUUGACCAAUUUAGAAAAAUUGAAAUUGUGGACGGAGAAUGGCAUCAGGACCGAUGCCGCACAUCGCGCAAAACCCACUCACCUCACUCAGAAACUAACCCUGGUUAGCACCUCCCUCCGCCCUAUAAAUUCAUACCAGAGCUACCUUGCAAUUCCAUCACAUCCUCAUCUUUCUCUUAACCUCCCUGAUUCAAAGCUUCACUCUACAACUAAAAGAUAUAUAAUGGCUGCUCCUGAUACCGAGUACAGGUGCUUCGUUGGUGGCCUUGCUUGGGCUACCACCGACGAUGCUCUCUAUGAAGCUUUCAGCACCCAUGGUCAAAUCGUCGAAUCGAAGGUCCGUUUGUCACCAGUGACUCCCAGGGAUUGGAUCUGACCUCCGACGCCACUCGGCUAUGUCGAUCCAGGAUCUGUUACUCUCUCCGAUCUGUUUCUGUUACUAUUCUGUGUUACUCUGUUCUCUCGUUGUUUUAUCAUGUUACUCUUCACUAAACUCUCACCCAAUCGGUACGUUCGUCUUCAUCCUUUGGGAGGAGACCGUUCGAUUUAAUUUUUUUUCAAUUCUAUAUGAUUUUCAUCGAUUAUCGUUCAAUUAUUACCAAUGGUUUCGAUCAUUUCCGUUGAUGUCUAACAGAUCCGCCAAAUUGUUAUGGCAUGUACAGAUCAUCAACGAUCGUGAAACCGGGAGGUCUCGUGGUUUCGGAUUCGUCACUUUCAGUGACGAGAAGUCGAUGAGGGAUGCCAUCGAGGGGAUGAAUGGCCAGAAUCUUGACGGGCGUAACAUUACCGUCAACGAGGCUCAGUCCCGCGGAGGUGGCGGCGGGGGAGGUGGUUUCCGCAGUGGCGGACCCCGCGGUGGUGGAUACGGAGGUGGCCAGCGUGGAUACGGCGGUGGCCAGCGUGAGGGUGGAUAUGGUGGAAGCCACGGUGGUGGUGAUGGCGGAUCUCGUUACUCUAGGGGUGGCGGUGACUCGGAAGGGAACUGGAGGAAUUAGAUUGGCCUAUUAGCUUUAGGGGAAGCUGGUUAUUGAAUGUUGUGCUGGUAUUUUAUGUUGAAUUAGGUUACGAGUGGUAUCCUGUUUGGUACGAUUGUGUUCCGUGCAUGUUAUGGUUAUGUUCACUGGUUCUGGUUCUUCUUCUUGUUCUGGUGGUCGUAUGCUUUGUCGCCCUUCUUAAUCCCUACUGAUGGGAUUGUAAGAAAAUGAAAUGAGAGACUACAGAGAUGAUCUUCAUUUUGCUAAUAUCAUCUGUUCGCUGUUCAUCCAUUGAUCUUCAGUCUCUGCUUAAUCAACUAAAUCAAAACACCGUGAACGCAGCCUUCACGUGUUCAAUUUCCUUGGGCCCCGGUCCACCAUCCACGGUGGCCUCCCCAAAGUACCUUCUAAAUAUAUCCAU